rnacentral:pre_miRNA from 1 species
UCAUCAUCAUCAUGAUCAUGAUGAUGAUGAUGAUCAUCAUCUUCAUCAUCAUCAUUAACAUUUUGA